GUUGAAACACAGCUAGGCAGUCAGAGAGGUCGCGCAGCGCAUUUUAUAUAAAAUAUUCCUGCUGAACUUGCGAGUCGGUGGAUUAUUUUGGGACUGAGUCAUCAUAUCUGCGGUACACCUGACCUGUUGGUUAUUCUCUUAACCAUCAUCCCAGUUCUCCAUUCAAUGCCUAACACUGUGGAAAGUGAAGGCGCCAAGGUAUCCGCUAGUACAGAUCAGGAGGCCCCAUCACGGGCCCCGGGACGAGAGGAUGAACGUGAGCGCAGCUUCCUGAGCCCCAUGAUGCGAGAUGCUCUGCGGGUACGACGGGCCUCCAGCGCAGAGCUCCAGCUUCCAUGGACGUGCCCUGUAACCCACUCCAGGGAGAAGUUCUACACCGUCUGCUCGGACUAUGCCCUGCUCAACCGAGCUCGACCAGUUAUCACAUCCGAAGAUGCAUCACAGACCAAUCCUGACAGCGGGACAUCAUUAGCCAAGAGCAACACAGCAACAUCUUCUCAGAGUCACUCAGGGGGAAUAAGCGUAUCUUUAGAUGGGAACUGUGAUAUGGAGGUUGUGUCCUCCAGCAACAAGCCUGUGCUGGCCUGGGAGAUUGACACCUCAGAUUUUGAUGCCGUUUUAACCCGGAAAGCCAGAACAAGUAAUUUGAAGAAAUUCAACACUAAGAAAAUGAAAUCAUCUGACAGGCCAAGCAGAAACCUGCAAGAUGUCCCGCCACAAGCCUCUCUGGAUGAAAUCAAACAGAGAAAAGUGCUGGACCUCCGUAGAUGGUACUGCAUCAGCCGACCACAGUAUAAAACAUCAUGUGGAAUCUCUUCACUUGUUUCUUGCUGGAACUUUCUCUACAGUACUCUCGGAGCAGGCAGUCUCCCACCUAUUUCUCAAGAAGAAGCUCUGCAUAUACUUGGAUUUCAGCCUCCGUUUGAAGAUAUCAAAUUUGGACCAUUUACUGGCAAUGCCACUUUAAUGAGAUGGUUCAGACAAAUCAAUGAUAAUUUUCGUGUUCGGGGUUGCUCAUAUAUUCUGUACAAGCCUCAUGGGAAGCACAAGACAGCAGGAGAGACAGCCGAGGGGGCGCUCAUGAAGCUGAUGCAGGGUCUUAAAGACGAAUCCAUGGCCUACAUUUAUCACUGUCAGAAUCACUACUUCUGUCCUGUGGGCUAUGAAGCUACUCCACUAAAAGCAGCCAAAGCAUACAGGGGACCACUGCCUCUUAAUGAGAUGGAGCACUGGAUUCUCAUUGGUGAACCAAGCCGGAAACAUCCUGCAAUCCACUGUAAAAAAUGGGCAGACAUCGUGACGGACCUCAAUACUCAGAACCCAGAAUACUUAGACAUUCGCCAUAUUGAGAGAGGCAUACAGUAUCGAAAAACCAAGAAGGUUGGAGGCAAUCUGCAUUGCAUCAUGGCCUUCCAGAGAGUGAACUGGCAAAAAUUGGGACCAUGGGCGCUGAAUCUGGAAAACCUGAGGCAUGAUCUCCAUCAUCAGGCUCCAGAACACAGAGGCCAAGCUUCCACAGAGGACAGUUCUGAGGAGCGAACGGUGAAACGCCUGGGUAGGUCUCUCAGCACGGGGAACAAGCCUGAAAAUGCCUGGAAGCGUUUGUCCAACACAGCCGAGUACAGGCACAGAGGCUCUCCAGACAGUGACCUGGAUGAAGACAUCACUGACUAAAUAUGAAGGGCCAGGUGGGUUUCGACACUUUUAUUCAAGAUUAUUAACCUUCCAGGUUAUUAGCUAUAGUUAAAGGUUACAAUCCGGUAUGAGGUUGUGAUGUAAGAGUUAGUGCUCAGACUGGUAAACUUAAAAAUAGAAGUUUGACGCCGAUAAGAAUAUGGGAUAGAGCUCUUGUGGAGGACAUCUGUGAAAUACUGACAGCAAUGUGAAUCAAGUUACACUGGCUUUGGUGAUGUGCAGAUAAAUAAAGGUUUAAAAUACUAUGAAAUGGCUUUUCGGGAAGAGGUUUAAGGAUUAGUUCACCCCUAAAUGAAAAUUGUCAUCAUUUACUCAUCAUGAUCAUUUUAAAACAGUUUGACAUUUGUUAAUUUUUGGAUUGAAAAAUUAAUAUUUUAAUGAAACUAAAAAGAUUUCUGAAUUCUGAUCCCCAAACAUGAACUGGUAAGUCUAUUAAAUAGUCAUUCUGUGUAUUAGCCUUUUAAGUUAAAUUACAUUAGUAAGUACUAGUGAGUAUUACACUUUGAAAAUAAUCUGACAACACAUUAAUAUAUGUACCAAUAUUAUGCAUUGAUGCAGUUGAUGCAUUGACAUGGGAAAGCAAGUUUAAAAAUUAAAAAUUGAACCCUGACUAACAAGCAACGAGUGUUUAGCAGUUAGUGCCACAAACCAAGCUCAUUCAUCACUGAGGGAAUGCGUGCAAUUUUUUUGUGCAUGUACUUGAAAACGUAAAAUUUUGUGGUGCAUUUAGUUAUUGAAUAAGUCCAUUUGGUUAUUUUAAAUCGUCAUACAGUUGGCAUCUUUCAUUUUCGGAUUAGUGAAAUACAGUCUCUCAGUCGUCGUGUGUAACAAUUUUGCGUCUUUUUGGACACUUUAAAAAUGCAGCAAACUUAAACAGUGUGGAAGUGUACAAACAUGUAAAAUGUCUGUGUAAUGGAGUCAGUCCGUCUGAUGCAUUUUCUUUUUAAUAAUUUGAUUUAACCGAUAAUCACAGUGUUAUUCUAUGUAGCCAAAUGAAAGCUUAAUAUGGCUUUAAAACGGUUUGAUUUAUGUAUUGUAAAUACCUAAAUUGUUAUAGCUACCUUUUGUUUGUUUUAUAUUGGUUUAUUAAUUUAAUGUGAUUUUAUUAUAUUCGAUAUUUGUAAAUCUUUCAAUUAUUUCAAUAUAGCUUAGGCUAUUUUAUCAAGAUAUGACACUAUUGUUUUGAGUCUACAAAAGUGGACUUGUAAUUUGUAAAGUUGUAUGUCUUUCUGUUGCAUUCAUAUUUUGUAUUAAUCUUCAAAAUAAAUAAAAAAGAAAGAAGCCGCUUGCGGUAUCAACAGAG